rnacentral:rRNA from 1 species
UUCCGGUUGAUCCUGCCGGAGGUUACUGCUAUCGGUGUUCGCCUAAGCCAUGCGAGUCAUAUGUAGCAAUACAUGGCGUACUGCUCAGUAACACGUGGAUAACCUGCCCUUGGGACCGGCAUAACCCCGGGAAACUGGGGAUAAUUCCGGAUAACGCAUAUGUGCUGGAAUGCUUUAUGCGUAAAAUGGAUUCGUCUGCCCAAGGAUGGGUCUGCGGCCUAUCAGGUAGUAGUGGGUGUAAUGUACCUACUAGCCAGCGACGGGUACGGGUUGUGAGAGCAAGAGCCCGGAGAUGGAUUCUGAGACAUGAAUCCAGGCCCUACGGAGCGCAGCAGGCGCGAAAACUUUACAAUGCGGGAAACCGUGAUAAGGGGACACCGAGUGCCAGCAUCAUAUGCUGGCUGUCCAGGUGUGUAAAAUACACCUGUUAGCAAGGGCCGGGCAAGACCGGUGCCAGCCGCCGCGGUAACACCGGCGGCCCGAGUGGUGAUCGUGAUUAUUGGGUCUAAAGGGUCCGUAGCCGGUUUGGUCAGUCCUCCGGGAAAUCUGAUAGCUUAACUAUUAGGCUUUCGGGGGAUACUGCCAGACUUGGAACCGGGAGAGGUAAGAGGUAC